UCAAAAUACAACAUAACCUCAAUUAUAACCCUGAUAAACGCAUAAACAAACGUGGUGGGUCAUGCUACGCGUUGAUUCUCAUCGUUUCACGAUUUUAAUAAAAUGUACAAUUGUUCGGUUAAGAGUUGUAAGAAUCGUGAUGGGGCCUGCAGAGAUAAAAGCAUUCGCAUUUGCACUAUGCGCGGACCGAAGAAUUGAUCGCUUCUUGUGACGUCUACUGAGGGAACUUUUCUAUUGGUUCGUCAGAAAAGCUGUGUUGUAGCACACCUAACUCGUUAGACUAUGAUAACUCACGGACAUAAAACCACUCCAGUUAUACACAAAAAAAAAAAAAAAGGAAUACUUGAAAACGAGAAUUUGGAAAAUAAAAUUAUACUUGUAGUUUUAUCGGCGAUACUACAUGGAAUAGAGUGGACCUGCGAUUUUUAACAACGACUCAAGUGUGGAAUAGUUGAUGGCCGAGGCAAAAUUUUUGCUACAACAUAUAAUGUACAAGAUGUGCGUCCACUACAGAUCUCGUUUUUCAAUGAGAAAAGGGUCUUUAUUUAUUGCCGUUCCAAACAGUAUAACAACGGACAGUCAACCGCCAAUCUAUUGAAAAGGCAUUUGUGUGAGAAUCGUCGCAUCCGGACGAGGUUUAGAAAUACAUCGCUGCGGCAACAUUGCUAUGUCAAUGGUCAUUGUGUAAGCCCAAUGCAGGGAUCUGUGUAAAUAUCAUUCCAAUUCCGUAAUGUAUAUAAUUUUUGUUUACAUUUCAUAAAUUAAGAAAUUCAAUGUCAUGAACAUAAUAGAGUCGAAGAAUAUUUGUUUGUUCAUUUCUAUGUGAUAGUUUCUGGAUCCUCAUUAUGAAGCCUAAAUGAAUAGGAAAAUGAUUGAAAAAAUUAUUGAAUCUCUUGAAAAGAAAUGCUUCGUAUAAUUCAUGCACCUAAAAUUCAAGCGCCGUGUCAAUGAAACAUUUGUCCUUGGUCGAAAUGUCAGGUUCUCCUUUUACAAUUUGAGACGUCACGUUCUUCCACAUUGUCGUCGACAUGCCGUGACAGUCGAGAUCUUCACGAAAACGUGUAAUCUCGUAGGUACAUGAUAUAGAUAGACACGCAUAACCCAUGCAAUAAUACUAUGCUCUUACAACGUUAAUCUAAUAAAAUCAAUUUUCAUAUAUACUAUACGCUUAUCUCUCACGCUCGCGCGUGUCGCAGAUAUAUAUAGCUAAAUGCCCCUGAAAUUGUGUUAUUUACGAGGUGAUUCAGUACGUGGGGAUCACCGGACACUCGCUAAUUCGUAGGAAGAAAGUAAAACUUAAAUUACUGUUGACAAUUUUUUUCUAAACCAACGGUUUUCGAAACCUGUAACUUUGAGGUUUUAGUAGGGAUUAGUGCUA
rnacentral:lncRNA from 1 species